UUACUCCUACGGGAGGCAGCAGUGGGGAAUAUUGCACAAUGGGCGCAAGCCUGAUGCAGCGACGCCGCGUGCGGGAUGGAGGCCUUCGGGUUGUAAACCGCUUUUGUUCAAGGGCAAGGCAGGCUUUCGGGCCUGUUGAGUGGAUUGUUCGAAUAAGCACCGGCUAACUACGUGCCAGCAGCCGCGGUAAU
rnacentral:rRNA from 1 species